rnacentral:rRNA from 1 species
AGCUCCAAUAGCGUAUAUUAAAGUUGUUGCAGUUAAAAAGCUCGUAGUCGGAUUUCGGGGCGGGCCGAGCGGUCUGCCGAUGGGUAUGCACUGUUCGGCGCGUCCUUCUUUCCGGAGACCGCGCCUACUCUUAGCUGAGCGGGCGCGGGAGACGGAUCGUUUACUUUGAAAAAUCAGAGUGUUUCAAGCAGGCAUGUCGCUCUUGCAUGGAUUAGCAUGGGAUAAUGAAAUAGGACUUUGGUGCUAUUUUGUUGGUUUCGAGCACCGGAGUAAUGAUUAACAGGGACAGUCAGGGGCACUCGUAUUCCGCAGAGAGAGGUGAAAUUCUUAGACCCGCGGAAGACGAACCACUGCGAAAGCAUUUGCCAGGGAUGUUUUCACUGAUCAAGAACGAAAGUUAACG